AACGGGUGNGUAACGCGUGAGGAACCUGCCUCAAAGAGGGGGACGAACAGUUGGAAACGACUGCUAAUACCGCAUAAGCCCACGGGUCGGCAUCGACCAGAGGGAAAAGGAGCAAUCCGCUUUGAGAUGGCCUCGCGUCCGAUUAGCUAGUUGGUGAGGUAAUGGCCCACCAAGGCAACGAUCGGUAGCCGGACUGAGAGGUUGAACGGCCACAUUGGGACUGAGACACGGCCCAGACUCCUACGGGAGGCAGCAUG
rnacentral:rRNA from 1 species